rnacentral:rRNA from 1 species
UACGUAGGGGGCGAGCGUUGUCCGGAUUUAUUGGGCGUAAAGAGCGUGUAGGCGGCCAGGUAGGUCUGCUGUGAAAACUCGAGGCUCAACCUCGAGACGUCGGCGGAAACCAUCUGGCUAGAGUCCGGAAGAGGAGAGUGGAAUUCCUGGUGUAGCGGUGAAAUGCGCAGAUAUCAGGAGGAACACCGGUGGCGAAGGCGGGUCUCUGGACAGCUUCCUGACACUGAGACACGAAGGCCAGGGGAGCAAACGGG